GUGCUCGCUCCUGCAGCACACAUACUAAAAUUGGAACGAUACAGAGAAGAUUAGUAUGGCCCCUGUGCAAGGAUGACAUCCAAAUUCACGAAGUAUUUAUAUUUUUU